rnacentral:rRNA from 1 species
GACAGAGGAUGCAAGCGUUAUCCGGAAUCACUGGGCGUAAAGCGCACGUAGGCGGCUUUUUAAGUCAGGGGUGAAAUCCUGGAGCUCAACUCCAGAACUGCCUUUGAUACUGGAAGCUUGAGUCCGGGAGAGGUGAGUGGAACUCCGAGUGUAGAGGUGAAAUUCGUAGAUAUUCGGAAGAACACCAGUGGCGAAGGCGGCUCACUGGCCCGGUACUGACGCUGAGGUGCGAAAGCGUGGGGAGCAAACAGG